UGGUCUCCUACUACACCAGGUCAGUCAGGGACCACCACCACCCCAAACACAACACAUCUCCUGGUCUCCUACUACACCAGGUCAGUCAGGGACCACCACUACCCCCAACACAACACAUCUCCUAGUCUCCUACUACACCAGGUCAGUCAGGGACCACCACCACCCCCAACACAACACAUCUCCUAGUCUCCUACUACACCAGGUCAGUCAGGGACCACCACUACCCCCAACACAACACAUCUCCUAGUCUCCUACUACACCAGGUCAGUCAGGGACCACCACCACCCCCAACACAACACAUCUCCUAGUCUCCUACUACACCAGGUCAGUCAGGGACCACCACUACCCCCAACACAACACAUCUCCUAGUCUCCUACUACACCAGGUCAGUCAGG